rnacentral:rRNA from 1 species
UAGGGAAUCUUCGGCAAUGGACGAAAGUCUGACCGAGCAACGCCGCGUGAGUGAAGAAGGUUUUCGGAUCGUAAAACUCUGUUGUUAGAGAAGAACAAGGACGUUAGUAACUGAACGUCCCCUGACGGUAUCUAACCAGAAAGCCACGGCUAACUACGUGCCAGCAGCCGCGGUAAUACGUAGGUGGCAAGCGUUGUCCGGAUUUAUUGGUCGUAAAGCGAGCGCAGGCGGUUUCUUAAGUGUGAUGUGAAAGCCCCCGGCUCAACCGGGGAGGGUCAUUUGAAACUGGGAGACUUGAGUGAAGAAGAGGGGAGUGGAAUUCCAUGUGUAGCGGUGAAAUGCGUAGAUAUAUGGAGGAACACCAGUGGCGAAGGCGGCUCUCUGGUCUGUAACUGAAGCUGAGGCUCGAAAGCGUGGGGAGCAAACAGG